GCCACUCUGGGUUUGUUUCAGGUCCUAUGUGCUUUUGUGAACGCAUCAUUCUGAUUCAUUUCUUCAAUGUUAGAGAUUUGAGUUAAUGUAACAGUGGACUUCAGUCUUAUCCCCUUCGACAAUACAUUCAAUGUGUAUUCUGCGUCAGUAGAAAGUCUUUUCUUCCAAAGUUUCAAUCUUUAAUUUGAUCUUUGCAUGUUUCCCCUUUUCAGACACAGGCUCACUUUUGA
rnacentral:misc_RNA from 1 species